rnacentral:lncRNA from 1 species
UAUAGCAGUAUGAAAAUGGACUAAUACACCUUGUCUUCAGAAAGACUUUCCCUAGAUGCUCAGCACACCUGCUAAAUUUCUCCAGUGUGUUGACAUUAGAGCAGCCUUGUCCAAUAGAGCUUUCUAAGAUGAUGGAAUGUUCUAUGUCUGCACCAUUCAAUACGGCAACUACUAGCCACGUGUGGCUAUUGAGCACUUGAAAUGUGGCCAGUGUGACUGAGGAACUGAAUUUUUUUUUUAGCUUUAAUUAAGUGUCAAUAGCCACACAUAGCUAGUGGCCAGCAUACUGGACAGGUCGAAUUUAGAAACUCUUCUUUCUGCCACUGUUGACUAUGACAAAAGAAUGAGUCAUAGAGAGGAAUGGACUUCUCCCAUUCUACUGGGGCAGCCUGGAGAACACUUGGGCUUCGAAGACCACUUCCCUCUGCUCCCCAGGGCCUUCCCCACUGGCUUCAGAGGCGUGACUGAGGGCAAGAAGGAAGAGCCAAGAUUCUGUCUACAUGUGUGAUCGACAAUGUUAAUUCUCAUAUUGUACAUUGUGCCAUCUCUCCCUGAACUUUAUUGAUGUUUUGAAGCAAAACAACCAUUUACUCCUCUCCUAAAGAUUCCAGUUAAUGAGGCCCCUUUGCAGAGCGCCAGCCAUUUCCAGGGAGGCACAGUGGUAGCAUUUCAGUGCCGUUCUGCUCAGGAAAGACGACCAAACAGCCCUCCUGCCCUCACCUUUGCACACCACACAUCUCAGCUUCAACUCGCCAUCACGGUGGUCCCAGGCACGGUCGCUGCAACAUCAGAAGGGCGGCAUUUCAGCAAGCAUUUGUUUUUGGGGUAGGGGUAGUGGUAAUUACCAGCACAUGAUUAUUUUAUUUUGUCUGAAUUAUUUACAAUGGAAGGAAGCAGUUUGGAGGGAAGGGGAUAUUAGGGAAUGAGUUCAAUCCCACUUGCAUUGAUUCUACCCAGAGCAAGAAGAGCAAGCCUAUUGAGAAGAAAAAUCACUUCCUUUUCUUCCUCUUUCCUCUCCACCCCUAAGUCUUAGAAAUAAAUAAAUAAUGCAAA